AAGGAUUUAAGUUAAACAAAAAAAACUUUUAACCUUCAAAGUUAAAUAUAGAGCUAUCUAAGCCUUA
rnacentral:tRNA from 1 species